rnacentral:lncRNA from 1 species
AGCAAGCAAGAAAGAAAGACAAAAUGGAUAGUAAAUAUAAAAAUGAUAGGAUAAAUGACUAUGAUUAUCAAAUGGACGAACAAAAAGUUGUACAGUGGGAUGACAAAUGUUUUGAACAUGAAUUUUUCAAUUGGGAUAUAUUUAAAAAGUACCAUAAUAGCAAUGAAUUUUCAGAAUUAGAAUCGAACAUAAAAGUAACUUAUAAAUCAAAUAAGAAUGUAACUUAUCGAAAGAGUUCUUCUGUAAUAAUAUCAGAUGAUAUAACAAGUACAUUAAAUUACAAUCUGAAUUCAUCAAGUUUUCAUGAUGUGUCAAAUUUAUUUCAAAAAAUUGUAUUGAGGUGGAAUUACUUUACAAGUUUUAGAGAUGAGGAUGGGCUAGGUUUAGAAUAUUUGAUAAAAAGAUUAAAAUUAAAAAUCGUAUUAACUAAAUUACCUACAGAGUUUCAAAAUUAUAUCCAAUAUUUUAAUUCAUUUUAUCCUUUAUUCAUUACAGAAAUUUUACAAAUAAUAAACCGGAAAAUAAAUCAAGAAGAAAAUCCAACAGAACAUAUUAUAUACAGAAUAGAAAGCAUAGAAAAUAGAAACGAAGAAUAUAAAAUAAUUAUUCCUAAAUAUGCAAUAUGUAUACCUUACGAUAUACAACAAGGAGAUUUAGUGAUGUUAAAAUUUGUAUUUAAUAAUUCAUUAGCUAAUGAACCUCCAAAUGUACGUACUCCUCUAAAAUGUGCAUUUAUCGCAUAUAAAAUAUUUUUACAAGAACUAUACAGUAUAUUAAAUGAAAAUUAUAUGGAUAAGACAAAAAAAAAAGAAAAAGAAAAAGAAAAGGAAAAAGAAAAUGAUGAAUGUAAAAAUAAACAAAAAACAGAAAUUGAUUUAAAUAUUGAAUUUUAUGGUAAUAGUAAUUAUGAUCUAGGUUAUAAAUAUAAUUAUAGAGAUGUUUUAAAUCUUUUAAAACGUCAAAAAGAAUCACAUUAUUCUUUAGACGAAACAAUAAUAAAUGAAAAAUUACAUAUCUUAGAAAAGUGUGAGCUUCAAAAAAAGUUUAACAAGCCACAUUCAACUGACAUAACGUUAAACAUGAGUAAAAACAGUAUUACUGAUUUGAAUGGUGACCAUCAUAACACAAAUCGUAUGUGUAAAUUUAUAUCCAGGACAUUUACUGCAGAUUAUAAUAAAAAAAAUAAAUUAUGUUUUUGUAACAUUUUAAAUGAUGAAAAUGACCACGUUUAUAUGGCUAGAAAAUAUAGCGUUAGACAUGUUUUAGGAGUUGUGCAUGAAAUUAACGAAAAUAUACAUAUAACUGUUAAUUUAAAGUACAACAGUUUUGAUGCAAUUGAUGAAGUUAGAAAACAAAUCGUUUCUAACAUAUUAAAUACUGUUAGUAUUAAUAAUUAUAUUAUAUUAUUAACGAAGAUAAUAAAUUUAACAGUCUAUUGUCGUACAUUUCAAUGUUUAUAUGAUUUUAGAUUUACUCGUGCCUAUUGUGAAAUAAUGAAAAAAAAAAUACCUUCUUCGCUUAAUAAAAGUAGUAGUAAUAAUUAUGUUUCAACGGGAAAUACAACUAAUAAAAAUAAAAAUGCAAAAUGGUUAGAAAAAGUGAAAGGAAAAUUAAAAGGAGAUGAUAUGCAAGAGUGUCAGUUAAAAAAACAAAUCAGUGACUAUUUAAACCUUCUAAAUACGAAAAAGGAGAGUUCAAAAAUAGUAAACCAAACAAACAGUUGUGAUACAAUCAAUUAUAAAAAUAAAGUUCCAAUAAACAGUAGUAGUGGUGGUAGUAGUGGUGGUAGUGGUGGUGGUAGUGGUGGUAGUAGUGGUAGUAGUGGUAGUAGUGGUAGUGGUGGUAGUGGCACUACUGUCGACCAUGAUAAUGAAAAUUUAAAGUAUUCAGGGUUUAAAUAUAUACCUAACGGAUUAAGAAAACAACUUUACGAAAGAUAUAAUGGUUACCAACUUAACGCUAUUAAUAAUUGUCUUAUAAAUAAUGGUAUAAUUUUAAUCCAUGGCCCACCAGGUACGGGAAAAACUUCAACUAUUUUGGGUAUAGUUAGCGCACUGCUUUAUUAUGACGAUAGUUCCAGUAAAAAAAUUAAAAAUAGAUCUACUAAUAGAAGUGCAUAUUCUUAUUUAAAUGAUAAAAGGGAAUGUGACUUGAAUAUGUUUAAUAAUGUUAGUCCUUAUGUAAGGAGUUUUUCAAAUACUAAUUCUGCUAUUAAUACUGGGGUGAAUUCUAAUCAAGAUAACAGUUUUAGUGCUAUCGAAUAUGAAGACUGUUUUCAUUAUAUAAAUAUGAACUAUGAAAAUAUAAGCAAUGUUUUUAAAAUAAAAAAAAAAAAAAAAGAAGAUAAAUCAUUUGCUAAUUUACAUGAAAUGCAUUUAAGUAUUAUGCACGCUUCGCACAGGUUGUCGGUUAUUAAAAAGGAUAUUGAUGAAGAACAUACAACAAUUAAC